AAUAUGAAUUUAAGAUUUGAAAAUAAAAAAUCUGCAUCGAUGCUGUAGACUAGAUCUAACCCUUAGAUCUAUCAAAACUAAUCUAACGAGUUCAAAACUCAUUACCAAAUUAUGGGUUGCCAAUCUCCACAAAUAUUUCACAUGGGGAGGAGUUUCUUUAGGUUGCUCACAGUCGCACUAAGGAGUCCAGCCUCUAUAGAUCAUCCACAUG
rnacentral:lncRNA from 1 species